CACGUAGGGCGCGAGCGUUGUCCGGAAUUAUUGGGCGUAAAGAGCUCGUAGGCGGCCUGUUGCGUCCGCUGUGAAAGCCCGGAGCUUAACUCCGGAGGGUCGGUGGAUACUGCCAGUCUUGAAGGUGCUAGGGGGAGAUGGAAUUACCGGUGUAGCGGUGAAAUGCGUAGAUAUCGGGAGGAACACCAGUGGCGAAGGCGAUCACCUGGGGUUGUUCUGACGCUGAGGAGCGAAAGCUAGGGGAGCAAACGGG
rnacentral:rRNA from 1 species